CGGGGAAUCAGGGUUCGAUUCCGGAGAGGGAGCCUGAGAAACGGCUACCACAUCCAAGGAAGGCAGCAGGCGCGCAAAUUACCCACUCCCGGCACGGGGAGGUAGUGACGAAAAAUAACGAUACGGGACUCAUCCGAGGCCCCGUAAUCGGAAUGAGUAUACUCUAAAUCCUUAUACGAGUAUCCAUUGGAGGGCAAGUCUGGUGCCAGCAGCCGCGGUAAUUCCAGCUCCAAUAGCGUAUAUUAAAGUUGUUGCGGUUAAAAAGCUCGUAGUUGGAUCUGUGUCCCGCGCCGCCGGUUCACCGCCUGUCGGUGUCAAACUGGCGUGUAUGCGGGACGUCCUGUCGGUGGCGGUCUGGGGCUACGUCGGCCCUAACGGUUGUCCAUGCGGCAACCCGAAGGCUGGCGUAUGUUUCCGGCCGCCUUUUCAAUCCCGCCGCGGUGCUCUUUACCGAGUGUCGAGGCGGGCCGGCACGUUUACUUUGAACAAAUUAGAGUGCUUCAAGCAGGCUCUUUUCUGCCUGCAUACUGUGUGCAUGGAAUAAUGGAAUAGGACCUCGGUUCUAUUUUGUUGGUUUUCGGAAUCUGAGGUAAUGAUCAAUGGGGACAGGCGGGGGCAUUCGUAUUGCGACGUUAGAGGUGAAAUUCUUGGAUCGUCGCAAGACGGACCGAAGCGAAAGCAUUUGCCAAGUAUGUUCUCGUCGAUCAAGAACGAAAGUUAGAGGUUCGAAGGCGAUCAGAUACCGCCCUAGUUCUAACCAUAAACUAUGCCUGCCAGCGAUCCGCCGGCGUUCCUCCGAUGACCCGGCGGGCAGCUUCCGGGAAACCAGAGCCUUUGGGUUCCGGGGGAAGUAUGGUUGCAAAGCUGAAACUUAAAGGAAUUGACGGAAGGGCACCACCAGGAGUGGAGCCUGCGGCUUAAUUUGACUCAACACGGGAAAACUCACCAGGCCCGGACACCGGAAGGAUUGACAGAUUGAUAGCUCUUUCUUGAUUCGGUGGGUGGUGGUGCAUGGCCGUUCUUAGUUGGUGGAGCGAUUUGUCUGGUUAAUUCCGAUAACGAACGAGACUCUAGCCUACUAACUAGACGUAUCUGGUAUCCACAAUCGUGCUACCAGCGAUCAAAUUUCUUCUUAGAGGGACAGGCGGCUGUAGCCGCACGAGACUGAGCAAUAACAGGUCUGUGAUGCCCUUAGAUGUCCUGGGCCGCACGCGCGCUACACUGAAGGAGUCAGCGUGUCUCCCCUGUCCGAAAGGACCGGGUAACCCGCUGAACCUCCUUCGUGCUAGGGAUUGGGGCUUGCAAUUGUUCCCCAUGAACGAGGAAUUCCCAGUAAGCGCGAGUCAUAAGCUCGCGUA
rnacentral:rRNA from 1 species